UCUAAGGUGACUUUCUUUCCUAGAAAUAGAGAGACACACGCACAGAGACAGACAGACAGAGAGAGCGUGAAGUAUUAUAACAUCGAGCGACCUUCUUUCGCAGAAAGAAAACGACAAAGGCUGAAACUGAAAGAGAAAGACAGAGAAGUAUUAUAAGAUCCCGAUAUAUCCUUUCCUGUCGGAAACAAAUAUUAGUGGAAAAUGCCGGAUUCGAAAGAAUUAGAGAAAUCUUCUGGAACAAGCGUUUCAAAAGACGUCUCGGGAAUUCAAACUAAGGAAUCGGGAGUCAAAGGCAGUGUUUCAUACUUUGGAACCGGUGUCUCUGCAAGCUUAGAAUACAAAUCGAAGGAGACAUCAAUAAUCUAUCAUAAAAGUAAUGAUUAAAAGUGAAAAACACUACACCCAUGGCCAUCUCUACAUAUUAUAUAGUAAGGACUCUAUUUUUAAUCGUGUUCUUUUACGAGAUGGCACGGGUCUCUUUUAGUCAAACUUGCUAUCAUAUUUUAAAACCAGGAUAAGUCUGAUGAUUUCAAAUAACGAUGAUUAAUAACCAAUGAUUAAAAAUAUAUGUUAUUAGUAGCUAAAAUAUUAAGUGUGCAUAUACUGAGCAUCUUUAUAUAUAUCCUGAUUUAUCUAGAAGUGAUGAUCUCCUUUACAAUAAUUAACUGCAACCAAGGUUGCAUGUUUUCAAUUAUAUAAUAAUUCAAUAACUAUGAAAAAAUAAAGAAUUCAAUAUCCGUAAAA
rnacentral:lncRNA from 1 species